UGCACAGUUGAUCGGAAAACGCGACGAAGAACACGGAUGUUUGCGAUGUCUUUGAAGCGUCCGAAGUCCGUUGGAUCGCUUGAGUCUGAAACAGAUCGACAUUACGUCCAUCCUGGAACACAAGGGCGACUUGCCCGGCCAUCACGGUCGUUCAGCUGCAGUACAAGGGAGUCUGAUAGCUCAGAGUCAUCUCUGUCUUCGCACUCCCAGCCAUUACAAGUUCAUGACAGAACAGCUGGCGGGUCAGCUGUUUCGGCUACUCGGUAUGGCAUACCCAGACAAUCAUUUGAGAUAUUGCUGCGCCGACGCCGACAUAAAGACAGACAUCAGUCACCGAAGCUUUAGCGUACUUGAUACGACUUCUGAGUUCUGACACUCCAGAAAGGCGCUGCAGCUUCUAGCUUGGACCACGCAUGACGAAAUAUGAUAUAAGACAUACGAAGUUCACGUGAAUAGCGACAAACUCCCAAGGCUCACGACCCUCAAGAAAAGAACGAAUAUGCUGGUUGGUAUUCUCAGGGCACUCGCGAUGUGCCCAAUGUCCGACAUCUGGAAGCAGUUCCAAGCGUCCAGACGUCCACCGCAUGCUCAUACGUGCUAGACGUGAAGACAGGGCCGUAUCAUUUUCGCCCCAGAUGAUGAGUGUAGGAACUUGGAUACUGCCAGGCCUGGUGCUGCCCAGAUUGAAAAAGUUGGCGCGGUAGUAGUUCAUUGCGCUCUGCAGCACGCC